GACAGAGGGUGCAAACGUUGUUCGGAUUUACUGGGCGUAAAGCGCGUGUAGGCGGCUUGGCAAGUCGGAUGUGAAAGCCCACGGCUCAACCGUGGAAGCGCAUCCGAAACUGCUUCGCUCGAGUCUCGGAGAGGAAGGUGGAAUGCUUGGUGUAGAGGUGAAAUUCGUAGAUAUCAAGCAGAACACCUACGGCGGAAGGCGGCCUUCUGGACGAUGACUGACGCUGAGACGCGAAAGCGUGGGGAGCAAACAGG
rnacentral:rRNA from 1 species